AAGGUAUCUAGUUUGAAAUCUGGGUUUCUAACCUUCGGUUUAAGUGGUUGAAUUCCAUUUAUAUCUUG
rnacentral:tRNA from 1 species